rnacentral:misc_RNA from 1 species
GAUGAAGAACGCAGCGAAAUGCGAUACGUAAUGUGAAUUGCAGAAUUCAGUGAAUCAUCGAAUCUUUGAACGCAUAUUGCGCUCUCUGGUAUUCCGGAGAGCAUGCUUGUUUGAGUAUCAGUAAACACCUCAACUCCCUUUCUUCUUGAAAUGGAGCUGGACUUGAGUGAUCCCAACGCUUUAUUCAUAAAGUGGCGGGUUACUUGAAAUGCAGGUGCAGCUGGACUUUUCUCUGAGCUAUAAGCAUAUCUAUUUAGUCUGCCUCAAAACAGAUUAUUACCUUUGCUGCAGCUAACAUAAAGGAGAUUAGUUCUUGUGCUGACUGAUGCAGGAUUCACAAAGACCGCUUCGGCCGUCUUUGUAAACUCGAUCUCAAAUCAAGUAAGACUACCCGCUGAACUUAAGCAUAUCAAUAAGCGGAGGA